UUGACGAUGGUUCCCAACCGACCUUCCACUGGACCCCACCCCCUGGUCUUCUCGCCUCUCUGUCCUCGCCUAGUAACCUUCUAUGCCUGUCCAUGUGUUGAUGGAUUGCCUUGGUUUUGGAUCUUCAGAUAUAACCACCUUCACUUGUCUUCAGAAUUCCAUCGGCAAAUAGAGGCGAGAAAGGGCCGCCGCCGCGCCGCCGCCGAUUCGGGAGACCAAACUCAACCUGUGUACGUUGGGGAGUUUCCCCAAGUCGUUCGUGAUGCCCAAGCCCUUCCUGUGCAAAAAUCUAUUCCCGGCGACGACAACAUGCCUGCUGGUGGCAUGGACAAGGAAUCAUCCCUGUCCUGGAUGAUAUGUGGAAACCAGCUCUUCAUCUGGAGCUACUUAUCCGCCACUCUUUCGAGGGGAUGCUCCGUACUUGAGAUCCCACCUCCUGCACUCGGCAGUGCUGAUACCACCACCACCACCCCCACUAGUACAAAACCAUCCGGGCAUGCGAAUCCCUGGAUGGUCUGUAUAGUGAGGUGGGACGUUGCAUCCACACACAGCGACAAGGCUGUAGCACGCUGCAAGUCUGCUGGAGCUGUCCUCUGCAACCGGAGGACUCGAGCUCUCGCAUAUUGGCCUGACAUUUACGUGGGUGGUGGGAACUCCCCCAUUCUUAGCCUCCCCCCUCCAGAAGAAGCGGAAGAGAUCGGUCUGUCGGGUGAUGGAGCUGAUUCCUCGUCCGAAUAUGAUUGGUUCAACUCCUUUAUUGCCUCAGCAAUCCCUGGUACCUCCCAUGAAUGCAUCGUGAUAGGUUGCCAAUCUAAUGGCAACUUGUGGCUUUUCCAUCUCACUCCCACCGGAGCAUCUCGAAAAAGAGCUUCUCAAAGUGCGUGCGGUGACAGUUGCGCUGAUCGUUCUCCUCUGCAAAGUAAAGGGCAAGCUAGGUCGAUCAUCUGGCGUCUGCAACAUGUUUCCUCGCGGGAUUCUUCCCGAGAAUUCUUUCUGUUGACUAAUAAUGAGAUUCAGUGUUGGAACGUGGUGUUGGCACGUGAUGUAAACAUUGCAAGGGUUUGGUCUCAAGAGAUUGUUGGUAGUGAUGGCGAUUUAGGUAUUAAAAAGGAUUUGGCAGGCCAGAAGCACAUAUGGCUUUUGGACUUUCAGGUAGAUGACCGGGGAAAGGAUUUUACUAUUCUUGUAGCUACCUUCUGUAUGGACAGGGUGAGCAGUUCAAGCUACACUCAGUAUUCUCUUCUGACAAUGCAGUAUAAACCUGUUCAACAUCAAGAACUGAUCGGCUCUAUGACUGAGCGCAUUUUGGAGAGAAAAGCUCCCCUUCAAGUUAUUAUUCCAAAGGCAAGGGUGGAGGACGAGAGUUUCUUGCUUUCGAUGAGGUUGCGUAUCGGCGGAAAGCCGUCUGGAUCUGCUAUUAUAUUAUCAGGGGACGGAACUGCAACUGUGACCAAUUAUUGGAGGGGUUCCACACGGCUUUAUCAGUUUGAUUUACCAUGGGAUGCAGGCAGAGUCCUAGAUGCUUCUGUUUUCCCAUCUGCUGAGGAAAGUGACGAAGGAUCCUGGGUUGUCCUAACUGAGAAGGCUGGUAUAUGGGCAAUACCUGAAAAGGCAGUCCUACUAGGUGCGGUUGAACCGCCUGAGCGAAGCUUGUCUCGCAAGGGAAGUUCAAAUGAAGGGGUUGCAGAAGAAGAAAAACGGAUUCAGGCAUUUGGCAGCAAUAUUACACCGAGGAGGGUUAGUUCUGAUGCAUGGAGUACUGGAGGCAGACAAAGGACAGUUUUGACUGGCAUUGGUCAGAGAACUGCUCAAGAUGAAGAGGCAGAAGCAUUACUUGGUCGCCUGUUUAAUGAAUUCAUUUUGUCUGGUGAAGUUGAGGGGGCAUUUGAGAAGCUCAGAGUAAAAGGAGCAUUUGAAAAAGAAGGUGAAACAAAUGUUUUUGCUCGAGUGAGCAAAUCUAUUGUAGACACGUUACCUAAGCACUGGACAACUACCAAAGGAGCUGAGUUUGUUGCGUCAGCUGUUGUAUCAUCUUUGCUCCUGGAUAAACAACAGAAACAUCAAAAGUAUCUCCAGUUUCUUGCUUUGUCGAAAUGCCAUGAGGAACUGUCAUCUAAGCAGAGACAAUCUUUGUUGACUGUCAUGGAACACGGUGAAAAACUUUCUGGUAUUAUCCAAUUGAGGGAAUUGCAGAAUCUACUUAGCCAGAAUCACCCUGAAGGGUCUGAUUCUCCACCUUCUCACUCAGGAGAUCAAGUGGCUGGUGCUUUGUGGGAUCUCAUUCAGUUGGUUGGCGAGAAAGCUCGAAGAAAUACUGUUCUUCUCAUGGAUCGAGAUAAUGCUGAAGUAUUUUAUAGCAAGGUUUCCGACAUCGAGGAACUAUUCAAUUGUAUGUCCCAUCACCUUCCUCAUAUAAUUGGUGAACAUCCCUAUAAACUACAGAUGAAAAGAGCUUAUGAAAUAGCAAGUGCAUGUACAACUUUGAUUCAUGCUGCCAUGAGAUACAGGGAUGAAUAUCAGACUUGGUAUCCAUCUCCUGAGAGAUUAACGCCAUGGAAUUGUCAAUCUGUUGUCCGAUCCGGUCUGUGGAACAUUUCAUCUUUCAUCAUGCAGCUGCUAAGGGAAACAACAGUAAUUGACAUGUUAAUGAAAUCUAAUUUGUGGUCUCAGCUAGAAAAGCUUACAGAUAUUUUGCUGGAUGCAUACACUGGUUUGAUCACUAGUAAAAUUGAACGAGGGGAGGAACAUAGGGGCCUGAAAGAAGAAUACUGUAAAAGGAGGGAUGAGCUUCUUUGUUCCUUAUAUGAACUAACCAAAAGAUUUACAGAUGCAAAAUACCAGGAUUCAUGCAAGGGUGUUGAAAACUUUGAGCUAAAGGAGGCUAUUUUUAGAGAGGCUGCUUCUCCUCUACUAUCAAUUGCUAAGCGGCAUGAAGGCUACCAAACUUUAUGGUGUAUCUGCUAUGACCUCAAUGAUACAGCAUUCCUUCGAAACCUUAUGCAUGACAGUGUUGGACCUAAGGGAGGAUUCAGCUAUUUUGUUUUCAAGCAGCUGAUUAAACGCAGACAAUAUGCUAACCUGCUGAGACUUGGGGAAGAAUUCCAAGAGCAGCUGUCUAGCUUUCUGAAGGAGCAUAAACAUCUUUUCUGGCUACAUGAGAUAUUUUUAAAUCAGUUUUCCUGUGCUGCGGAGACUCUUCAUGCAUUAGCUAUAUCUCAGGAUGAUACUUCUGCCUUAGAAAAUGAAGAAACAGAGCCUACAAAACUAACGCCACUGCCAUCUUUGGCAGAUAGAAGGCGCCUACUUAAUCUUUCUAAGAUUGCUGCGGCAGCAGGUAAAGAUGAAGGUUUUGAAAUGAAGAUGGUCCUCAUAGAAGCUGAUUUGCGUAUCCUAAAACUUCAGGAAGAGAUUAUGAGACAUUAUCCCUAUCGUGAAGAAGUACAAGACAUCAACAAGCUCUUGCCCCCAAGAGAACUGAUUGAGAUGUGUUUGAAAGUUAAAAGCCGAGAGUUAUCCUUACUAGCUUUUGAAGUAUUCGCAUGGACAAGCUCCUCCUUUCGGAUUGCAAACAGAAGCCUUCUGGAGGAAUGCUGGAAGAAUGCAGUUGACCAGAAUGAUUGGGCUGCUCUCAGUCAGGCUUCAACUGCGGAAGGGUGGAGUGAUGAAGUGGUACUAGAAACUAUGAAAGAAACCAUCCUUUUCAAGGCAUCACAACGUUGUUACGGUCCUGAAGCUGAGAUGUAUGAUGGGGAUUUUGAUGAAGCCUUGCCUCUGCAGAAAGAAGAUGCGGAAAUGCCAGGCCCUUCAGUGGAAGGUAUCCUGAUGCUGCACAAGGAUUUUCCAGAUGCAGGUAAGCUAAUGCUGACUGCACUUAUGAUGGGCAAAGAAGCCUUCAACAACAUUUUUGAAGAGGAAGAGGAGGCUAUGGAUUUCUGAUUGUAAAUUUUGGUAUCUCAUGAAAGCUGUUGGAUUGGUUGGGUGUGCUGCCAUGGGGGUUUUGCAAGAAGAUGGAUGUAGUACUAUCGCCGCUGGCAUUUUGAUAGAAACUGUUACAACAGCAAUGCAUCUGGUUAGAAAGUCAUAGUGGCUUGGUAAUGUGGAAGUAAGAGUGAUGGCAGAUAUGGGGUUGCGCUUAAUCAAUUUUUUUAAACUAUUUGUUCUUUAGGUUGUGGCAACACCCGAUCCAUGUUCGAUCAAACAUCAAUAUGCAUAUAUAGUCUUCAUUCUCCAAAACAACUAUGUACGUAUGUAUGUACGCGCGCGCUUAAUAUAUCCUAUGUUAGCAGCAAUAAAGAAUAAGAAUCAUGUA